AGGACGAACGCUGGCGGCGUGCCUAACACAUGCAAGUGGAGCGACGAACCGGGGCUUGCCCCGGGGCAGAGCCGCGAACGGGUGAGUAACACGUGGGUUACCUGCCCCGAUGACUGGGACAACCCGUCGAAAGACGGGCUAAUACCGGAUGUGCCCUUUGGGGGAAAGGAAGCUUCGGCCUCCGCAUCGGGAUGGGCCCGCGGCGCAUUAGCUAGUUGGUGGGGUAAUGGCUUACCAAGGCGACGAUGCGUAGCUGGUCUGAGAGGACGAUCAGCCACACUGGGACUGAGACACGGCCCAGACUCCUACGGGAGGCAGCAGUGGGGAAUCUUGCACAAUGCGCGAAAGCGUGAUGCAGCAACGCCGCGUGCCGGGAAGAAGGCCUUAGGGUUGUAAACCGCUUUCAGUUGGGACGAAGCUUCGCGGGUUAAUAGCUCAUUGGAGUGACGGUACCUUCAGAAGAAGCGCCGGCUAACUACGUGCCAGCCGCAGC
rnacentral:rRNA from 1 species